UACGGAGGGUGCUAGCGUUGUUCGGAAUCACUGGGCGUAAAGCGCAUGUAGGCGGCUUUCAAGUCAGGUGUGAAAGCCCACGGCUUAACCGUGGAAGUGCAUUUGAAACUGUAAGCUUGAGUAUGGGAGAGGAUGGUAGAAUUCCUGGUGUAGUGGUGAAAUACGUAGAUAUCAGGAGGAAUACCGGUGGCGAAGGCGGCCAUCCUGGCCUAAUACUGACGCUGAGAUGCGAAAGUGCGGGGAUCAAACAGG
rnacentral:rRNA from 1 species